GCACCUGUAAACGGCGCGCCUCCGCGGCUCCAAUUUAUUUCGGGGCAGUUCUUGCCCGGGAGGAUACUUAAUGCUCGGGUCCGCGCAGCAGAGUCAGUCCUCCCAGAGCCCGCCGGGACCCCCAUGCGUCUGGCAGGCGCGGGGGCCGGCCACAUU
rnacentral:snoRNA from 1 species